UUACGGCCAUAUCACGUCGAAAUACCGGUUCCCGUACGAUCAACGAAGUUAAGUAACGUUGAGUCUGGUCAGUAGCUCGAUGGGUGACU